UGAGUCCUGCUCUGGCUGGUCAAAGGGAACCACGGCUGUCUUCCUUGAAGGUUUGGUCCCCUUUAACCAGCUACAGCAGUCCUGAUAU
rnacentral:pre_miRNA from 11 species